rnacentral:rRNA from 1 species
UACGGAGGAUCCAAGCGUUAUCCGGAUUUAUUGGGUUUAGAGGGUGCGUAGGCGGCCUGUUAAGUCAGGGGUGAAAGACGGUAGCUCAACUAUCGCAGUGCCCUUGAUACUGAUGGGCUUGAAUGGACUAGAGGUAGGCGGAAUGAGACAAGUAGCGGUGAAAUGCAUAGAUAUGUCUCAGAACACCGAUUGCGAAGGCGGCUUACUAUGGUCUUAUUGACGCUGAGGCACGAAAGCGUGGGGAUCAAACAGG